CCCUGCCCCCAUCUAUGACAUCACACUCUACCUCAUAAAAGCUCAUUCAGCAUGGCCUGGAACAGAAAAACAGGCUGAAGUGAAGCUGUAACCACUGUAGCAGGUGAACCUUGAAUUUUUGAGCGGCUACUACUUUUAAAGCAAAUGCAGUAUGUAAUGAAGCACAUACAAUAUUUCCUUCAAUUCUCUAACAAGUAUUUCCUUCAAUUCUCUAACCUUUGUCUAUGGUCAUAUUUGUUUCAAGCCUCAUUCUUGAAUCUGUAGCAUUUUACAUUGUUUUCAAGGAAUUAAAUGGCUUCAUAUUGUUUGGUGUCAGAAAUGCUUUUCUUUACAGAAAAUUGUUCUAAUGAGAAACUUCAACAAAUUUAAUCUUCACAAAUGCCUGAAUAUUAGUCAUUUGAUAAAGCACAAGAGCACGGUCCCCAAAGCCAAAAUGCUUCUUAAUAAGGAUAAAAGUCUGACCUGUCUAAAUUUAAACCUACUGAAUGCAGACAUAUAGAUAGUGUGUGUGCUUCUUGUCUCCAUGAAUAUAUUAUAAUGAAGACAAGUGCAGUGUAAUUUUGCUUUGCAAAUUAAAUUCUAGAUAACAUCUUUCCGUUUAUGCAGGAUAUAUAAUUUCAUAUUUAUGUGUGUUUAUACAUGCAUUCAUAUAAAUUGAGGUAUUUUCAUAGCCCUAAACAUAGCCUUAUAAAAAAAAAAAUGGAGCUUCAAAAGAACUGAGAUUAUUGCACAAAAAAUAUUUUCUUGUUGGAUUUUUUAGUUGUGUCUUGAGCUUUGCUCUUCUAUUUUCCUUACAUAAACUCUGUCUGCCACGUCCACCUUCUUUGAUGGAACAAUAAUACACUAAGAAAAAUAGAUUACCCUUUCCAGAGGCUUCUGCACAGCUUUUUCUGUGGAUCACAGUUAUGAUCCCCCUGAUGCCAAAGCUCAGGGUAUGCCCUAUCAUCCAAUCCAGCACCUCUAACAAAGGCAAAACCUGUGAACUCCCUGCCACAGGAACAAGAUCCUGCAGGAUCUUUCACUUGGCUGAAUCAAAACUCUGUAAAAACAUCACUUAAAAGAGAUCUCUGGAGGAGUCUUGUAUAACUGUUAACUUGAAAUGAGCUGAUUACCAACACUAGAUCUUCUCAGCUGCUUCACUGUCUGCUCCAGGCUUGAAUCUCUCCAAGGAAGCCAACUGCACAAACCCUCUGAGCUCCUGGUCUGUGCUCCCUUUACUGGGAUGCAACAGCAAAGUCACUGAUGCCAAAAAGGACCCUUCAUAUGCUAUGCUAGAAUCAUACCAAUCUAUAGAGGAAAAAAGCAAACAAGAUCAGCUUUAUGCUUAUUUUCAGAGGUAAACCAUACUGAACUACUGAAUCUCGGACAGAGAAAAAAGAAAAAGAAGUUUCAUCAAAAGACAUACGGCACAUUAAAUGUUAUGUACACAGUAUUUCUGGAGUUGUUGCAACAUAUUUUUCUCUAACAAAACUGUAAGAACUGUGGGGUGGCUUUCAUCUGUCUUUUAGCUUUUAAUUGGUUUUAUGUCUCUUUCCUUUAUAUAUAAAUAUGCAUACACCCACACAAAGAUUCAAACAUACAUAUGCAUACAUUCAUUUCAUUUCUAAAUAUUGAUUAAUAUUCUUAAUAAUGAAAAAAAUUAAGCAGAGAUCCUAAUCCCCAUAAUAGUUCUGAAUUGCAAGUCAUCUUUUGGAUCACUGAAUUGUCUCAUGGUUCUUUGUAAACACAGUAGUAAAUUAAUAUAUUGUAAUAAUUGUCAUGGUGCUUGAUAUUUACAUCAAAACACUUCAAUAUACCACAAUUACAGAAACUUACUUCUGUACUCAUAGGUUGGGAAGCUUGAGUUCUGGAUUUCUAUAAUACUUCUAACAUUGUACUGUAUGCAAGUUGCCAAAUAAUGGUAUUUCAUUUUAGUAUAAAUAAAAUACUGUUUAUUUGUAAUUGGCUAUCCAAGAGAGAAUGAAGAAGAAGAUGGAAGCAGAAGCAGCAAGUAGACAAGCAGAUGUGGAUGUGCACUUGUAUACCAGACCUCUGGAUAGCAAAGGAGCAUACAGUACCCAGCACCCUGAAGAUCAACAGCUCAGAAAACACUGUCAGGAAAGCUCUGCACUGACUGGGGCAUGUCAGAUCACAAGAUAAUGCUCUCACAAAGGGAUGCACAGGAGCUCAACUCACUAUACCUCCUCCUGCUCAGAGCACCAGCAGAAGAAGCAAGCUGGGCAAUCUUCACAUUUUCUCUAGGUCAGUUUUACCGAGUCUUUGGAACAGACCCAAAUACUUUCUGUGGUUGAAGCUCAUUUUGCCUUUGAAACUGACUGUGAAAACCCCACCAAACAGAAACACAAUGGUGAUGGAGCCUGGGAAGCAGCGGGUGCCAACAAUGCCAGACUGGAAUGAUGAACUCAAGCAGUUUGGCCACUUAUAAUUCCACAACGGAUGGGGAUGUUCCAGGAACGAGGAGAUGCGCAAGGCUCACAAUGGCUUAUUCAGCAUCCACAAACACUGAAUAAAGAGACUCGAAAAAAGAAACACACACAACCACAAAAGCCAAGCCAGGAGAAGCACUGAUUCGGGGAGUUGUUUGAGAGAGAUGAACAUGACAAGUCGAUGGGUAUGAAAGGCUGGACCCAGAUGGCAGGAGGUAAGAAAAGAUCAUAGCAAUUACGAUGCAGAAUAGCUGUCAGUGAUACAAGGACAGAUCACGCCGCUGGUGUCAGGAAAAUGGAAGAGGAUCUUUUCAUUGCUGUGGGAAGAUCAAGGUGUUAAAAUUACAUACGUACAUACGUCAAGAAGUGAAGACCAAUUGCAGGACAGAUACAGGAACCUUUAAGCAGCUCCUUUUAGGAUUGUGUAUAUGACUUCAGAAUGCCUGAUCCAAGAAAGCCUGGCAAUGUUUAAGACCUUCUAUAGGGCUUUGCAAAAAUAAAAAAAAAUGUUAUGUGACUGAGAACACUUUCUGUGACUUCUGAUAUGUUUGAGGAAGGCCAGUGAUGCCACUGGGGAAUCUCAUGGAUGGAAUGAAGGGCACAAGUUUGUUGUCCUAAUCAUCUUCGUACUUGAUUGGGCUUAAACAAUGAAAGGGUGCUUUUUCAAAACCAUGUUUGGAAACAAUUUGUUUUCAGCAUCUUGGGUCUCACAAAUCACUAUUGUUUUGAAACCACUCAGGAGAGUGGAAUAUGUUACAAAUUUACAUACAUAUGGUCUGUACUUGAGUUAGAGGAUAACAAAAGUGUCAUGGGGCUAAACUAGUGUCAAAGAAAAAAAAAUCACAAAGAACAGUCAUUAGUUCUUUGUGAUUCUAGCAUACUCCCAGAGGCUCAAAGGCCAACAAAGGAGAAGGAAAAAAAAUACAUUUAAAAAAUGUAAAAAAACUCACUGUUUACAAUAUUAAUGCUGCCUGUCUUUAUUUCUACAAAAGGUUGUGUGUAAGAAGUUUGUAGUGUUCAUUGAACAUAACUGAAAUAACUGUGUGGUAUUAGAGUAUAUAAUCACUGUGUUUGCAAUAGUACUUGAAAACAGCAUAUGCAUUAGAAUUUAAAGUAUUUUGCUGGCCUUCCAGUCUUUUGCUAAACCUAGUGUGCAUUGGAACCUGAGUGAAUGAAUCCCAUUAGUCAUCACCAUCUUAACAAUAUGCACUUCAUAGAGAGUUGGCUUCUGCACAGAGGAAGGAAAUUACCAGUAGUAACAAAGGAAAGAAAAUUUAUAAUGAGCAAAUAUACAAAAGCUCCAAAUAAUUACAAUAUUUACAGCUUGGCAAUGACUUUCUAGGCUAUGAAAUUACUUUUCUUUUGGAAGAAUGAAGAUUCUGCAAGGUUAGUAUAAACAAAGGGUACUUGGAGAAUCAAAUUGCUCUACAUAAGUUAUUGUAAGGCCUGGAAUAAUGGUGAUAGAAUUAAAAAACAAAAACAAAACCAAAAAAACUUGCUUAUGAAUCAGUGGAUUUUUGUUUUGCACAUUAUUGCAAUCAAAAAUUCUCCCUUUUAAGUGCUACAUGGGAAACAAAU